UACUGCCAGAGUGAACUGAGAUUGGAGGUGGUUUAUGUUAAUGCUGCAGUCUGUAGACUGUACUUGCUCAGGAUUUUAUCCAGGAGGAUCAGCUGCUCUCGCUGAAGGAUGGUGACCUCUGGCAGAUACACAGGACAGAGACAGCUGCUUCAGCUUUCCCAGCUAAACCUGCUUAAGUUGGUAUUCCUGUGUGUCUUCACAAGAAGAACCAUAUCAUGGUCCUGUUCUGACAACAUAGGCUCAAUGAAAUGAAGAGGAGGAGCAAGUUUUCUGCUGUUGCCAUGCUAUACAAUACCAUGCCAUGGAAAAGUAAAAAUAUAGUCAAUUGCUUUUUCUGCUUGAUAGUCACAAGAUUAAAGAGAACCUAGCACAGCAUGUCCAUAAUUGAGUG